rnacentral:lncRNA from 1 species
GGGGACUUUGGGGAGCUGCAAGAGGGGAGGAGAGAAAAGACUGGAAAGUCAGGGAAGAACCAAGCAUGGAGGACUUAGGAGAGCGGGCUGGGUGCUCUGCUUUUCCCUCUGCAGGCAGCAGAGGACUGGAGUCUUGGAAGGUUUUGAGUAGGGAGCAGAUGGGUGCGUUCAGGAGCAGUGCCUGGGGCAGUUCGGAGAGGCUGAAAGAAUGAAAGCAGGGAUUGCGCAGGAGACAUGUUGGUCCAUGAGUGUGGCUGUAACAGAAGGCCACAGACCGGACUGCUGAUACACAGCAGAAAUCCAUUCUCACAGUUGUGGAGGCUGGAAGUCCAAGAUGGUGGCACCAGCU